GACGAACGCUGGCGGCGUGCUUAACACAUGCAAGUCGAACGGAAAGGCCCUGCUUUUGUGGGGUGCUCGAGUGGCGAACGGGUGGGUAACACGUGAGUAACCUGCCCUUGACUUUGGGAUAACUUCAGGAAACUGGGGCUAAUACCGGAUAGGAGCUCCUGCUGCAUGGUGGGGGUUGGAAAGUUUCGGCGGUUGGGGAUGGACUCGCGGCUUAUCAGCUUGUUGGUGGGGUAGUGGCUUACCAAGGCUUUGACGGGUAGCCGGCCUGAGAGGGUGACCGGCCACAUUGGGACUGAGAUACGGCCCAGACUACUACGGGAGGCAGCAGUGGGAAAUAUUGCACAAUGGGCGGAAGCCUGAUGCAGCAACGCCGCGUGCGGGAUGACGGCCUUCGGGUUGUAAACCGCUUUCGCCUGUGACGAAGCGUGAGUGACGGUAAUGGGUAAAGAAGCACCGGCUAACUACGUG
rnacentral:rRNA from 1 species